CACACUUGCUCAAUUUACAUAUCUGGUUUUGCUACAGUUUAUUGGUCUCCAAAAUGAGCCACGUUUUCUUUUUGAGACCGCAUAUUCUGCGUCUUCUUGCUUUUGUAUUGUCUCACAUCCACCUCCUCUCGUGAUGAAUAAUUAAUGUAGUUGAUUUUUUUGACUUAUUGAAGUGUAGUUGAUUUUGUUGACUUCUUGAAAUCUGAAAACCUGCAUUCCCGAGGUAUAUAGCAAAGUUAUUAGAUGAUCGUCCUUUUUCCCACAUAAUUGAGAUAUCAAAAGUAACAUUAUACCCUCUAUUUAAUAAACAAUUUGGCACAAUUACCCUUCACUUUCUAACUACACACUAAUUUCCAUACCUAUAUUAAUGUUAAGGGUGAUAUGGGAAUUAAAAAAUAUAGUUGUCCAAACAUUAAUGAAUGGGACCCACAUUUGAAGUAAAAUGUCGUGUGCUGUUUAUUUUUUUUUCCUACCACAUAAAUUUCGCACAAUACUCUUCUAUCAAUUCAAUCCUUCUCUUUCUAAAUUCUAGCCAUUGUUUUGCAGAACGAAUUCUCCCCAAAAUCUUGUUUUCUCUGGAAAAAAAAAGGGCGUCCUUCUACCAUUAUUCGCUUUUGCCUUUAGCCUAAUUCGUAUUUUCUCGUCAUCAAUAGUGGAGAAGAAAAUUCUAGAAGUUGCAACAAUUAUUUUGGGUAUGUUCUUCUUAUAAUUUUUCUUUUUUGUGUAUUUCUUUUUUUAUUUUCUUACUAUUUAUUUAAGGUACGUAGUCUUUCUUUGUUUGUAGAUGAAAAUCUAGUUGGGUUCGUCUUCCUUUAGCUCCAUAUAAGGUAUGUUCUCGUUUCUGUACAUGCAUGAAAAUAUAUCCACGUUUACAUAUUCAUGGUUCAUGAGGUUGAAGGUCAUGAAUUUUCGCCGUUUCGAAGCUAGUGAGGAAUCAACUAUCAUCAUUCAUAGCCAACUUCAACAAUUUCAAAUCACUAUUUCACUCCAUUUUUCAUUCACUGUAGAAGAAAAUGAAAUUGCACUGGACGCAAAAAUAAAAUGUUAAUAGAGGGUGAAAAUUAUAUGGAUGUGUACAUACACAUUUACAUACAUACAUGUUUACGUGUGUGAGGAGAGGGGAUUACUUUUCUUUCUUUACUUUCUUAAAAGAGAGGCUUUCUUUACUAUUCAUUCAUGUCACACUGAUUUUCACACAUUGUAAAGUUAUUAAAAAAAAAGGGGGGGGGGAAGUCAAAGUCGGCCAAACCAAGUAAUAAAAAAUAAAAAUAUCAAGUUUUAUCCUUAUCUUUGUAUGAGUAUAAAUACAUCCAUAUCCAUUGCCAUAGAAAUAUUUCCUUCAUUUUACAACACACUUAUACACUUAAAAAGAAGGCAAAAACCGAAAUCAAGAAAGGAAAGGAGAAGGAAGAAAGUUUAGCACUUUCAAUUCAUUUCAAUCAAAGAUCUUCAAGUUUUACGGUAAGAUACCUUCUAUGCUUAUGUGGUAUGAUUUUCAUGGUAAUAUUUAUGCUUAAGUUAUGCAUGAAAAACCAAAGUAUGUUAAUGGUGGAGAAAUCCACAAAUGUUAUGAUUAUGGUGGAGAAAUCCACAAAUGUUAGAUAUAUCUAUGCCUUAGGACAAGUCCGAAGGGCACCGGCAUGUCGGAAUAUGGAAGUAUGGGUUUGAUUGCUUUCUUUGGUGUAGUAUUAUCAUGAUAAAUGUUCAAGCAUGGUAUCUUACUGAGUAUUUCCUUAUACUCAAAGUAUGUUAUGCUAAACUUUUCAGAUCCAUGAUCAUUUGAAUUGAUGGAAGUUAGUUGGCUUACGCGAUGAUGGAUUAAGGACAACGAAGUUUUG
rnacentral:lncRNA from 1 species